GCUGGCGGCGUGCCUAACACAUGCAAGUCGAGCGGUAACAGGCGUAGCAAUACGUGCUGACGAGCGGCGGACGGGUGAGUAACGCUUGAGAAUCUACCCAGUAGUGGGGAAUAACCAGUCGAAAGAUUGGCUAAUACCGCAUACGUCUUUUUUCCACAUCGGAGAAAAGGGAAAGCGGGGGACCGCAAGGCCUCGCGCUGUUGGAUGAGCUCAAGUCGGAUUAGCUAGUUGGCGGGGUAACGGCCCACCAAGGCGACGAUCCGUAGCUGGUCUGAGAGGACGACCAGCCACACUGGGACUGCGACACGGCCCAGACUCCUACGGGAGGCAGCAGUGGGGAAUAUUGGACAAUGGGGGAAACCCUGAUCCAGCGACGCCGCGUGUGUGAAGAAGGCCUGCGGGUUGUAAAGCACUCUUAGUGGGGAUGAAAAGCUUCGGGAUAACACCCCGGGGUCUUGACCUAACCCAAAGAAAAAGCACCGGCUAACUCUGUGCCAGCAGCCGCGGUAAUACAGAGGGUGCGAGCGUUAAUCGGAAUUACUGGGCGUAAAGCGCGCGUAGGCGGUCUUGUAAGUCGGGUGUGAAAGCCCCGGGCUCAACCCGGGAACUGCAUUCGAGACUGCGGGACUGGAGUAUGGG
rnacentral:rRNA from 1 species